CUGGCAUUACAGGUGUGCACCACUGCACACCACUGAGUUUCUUUUACAGUAUUCCCACAGACAGUUAUUUGUGGCCACGGGUUUUCACUUAGGCAACAUUUUCCUUCACUCAUCUCAAUACCAGCUCUCACUGAAAUCCACUAGUGACUGAAUGGCAACUCCUGACUUUCUGAGAACAAAUUAGCCCUAUCCCUGAACGUAACGCUAGGUGAAGAUUGAGCAGCUGCAGGAAGCUGUGAGGGUGAGGGAUUGAAGCAAUUCCAUUUCCCCACAAUCAGGAAACAGAGAGGGAAGAACUGAUCAAAUAUAUUUUAGUGGGUCGUAAAUUGCUUUUGUCUUGAUUAAUUCCUGCAGGAAAUAAGUAUCCAAUCCCGGAAAAUGACUAUUUUCUUUGCAUCAGCUGCUCUUUCACCAGGAACUCACACGUGCGAGGACUCUCACAUGGAGAACAGAGAGCCACCCUCUUCAGCCCCCGCACUUGCAGGAUCCCUAACAGAGGUCAAUGGAUAAAUCUUGGCAAAUUACUCCGAAGAGGAGCACUUCAC
rnacentral:lncRNA from 1 species